UUAAUACAUAAAUCAAAAUAUCAAGAACCAUUAACCUAAGCUAACCACAUGAUCAAUAUGUUUUUUAAAAUGGAUUAAUAUCAACAUUUGAAAGUUAUUAAAAAUAAUUAACACUUAAUGAACUAUAUCACUAAACAUUCUAAUUCUAAUCAGUUUUUAUUAAAAAAAUUAACAACAAGCAAGAAAAUAUAUGAGAAAAAUGUUAAAAAAGAAAUAGCAAAAAUAAGUAAAAAA
rnacentral:lncRNA from 1 species